UCAGGUAGUUCAAGGUUGCUAUCAAAUCCCCUGGUCAACGCUUCUCUUCUGCAGACUAAAUAAGCCAGUUCCCUCAGCCUCUCCUUAUAAUCAUGUACCCCCAGCCCCC